rnacentral:misc_RNA from 1 species
AUGAAGAAUGUAGCGAAACGCGAUACCUGGUGUGAAUUGCAGAAUCCCGCGAACCAUCGAGUCUUUGAACGCAAGUUGCGCCCGAGGCCACUCGGCCGAGGGCACGCCUGCCUGGGCGUCACGCCAAAACACGCUCCCAACCACCCUCAACGGGAUUCGGGAUGCGGCAUCUGGUCCCUCGUCUCUCAAGGGACGGUGGACCGAAGAUUGGGCUGCCAGCGUACCGCACCGGACACAGCGCAUGGUGGGCGUCCUCGCUUUAUCAAUGCAGUGCAUCCGGCGCGCAGCUGGCAUUAUGGCCUUUGA